UGGGGAAUAUUGCACAAUGGGCGCAAGCCUGAUGCAGCCAUGCCGCGUGUGUGAAGAAGGCCUUCGGGUUGUAAAGCACUUUCAGCGAGGAGGAAGGUGGUGAGCUUAAUACGCUCAUCAAUUGACGUUACUCGCAGAAGAAGCACCGGCUAACUCCGUGCCAGCAGCCGCGGUAAUACGGAGGGUGCAAGCGUUAAUCGGAAUUACUGGGCGUAAAGCGCACGCAGGCGGUUUGUUAAGUCAGAUGUGAAAUCCCCGGGCUCAACCUGGGAACUGCAUUUGAAACUGGCAAGCUAGAGUCUCGUAGAGGGGGGUAGAAUUCCAGGUGUAGCGGUGAAAUGCGUAGAGAUCUGGAGGAAUACCGGUGGCGAAGGCGGCCCCCUGGANGAAGACUGACGCUCAGGUGCGAAAGCGUGGGGCAGCAAACAGGAUUAGAUACCCUGGUAGUCCACGCUGUAAAACGAUGUCGAUUUUGGAGGUUGUGCCCCUUGAGGCGUGGNUUCC
rnacentral:rRNA from 1 species